rnacentral:rRNA from 1 species
AACGAACGCUGGCGGCAUGCCUAACACAUGCAAGUCGAACGAAGGCUUCGGCCUUAGUGGCGCACGGGUGCGUAACGCGUGGGAAUCUGCCCUUUGGUUCGGAAUAACAGCUGGAAACGGCUGCUAAUACCGGAUGAUGACGAAAGUCCAAAGAUUUAUCGCCAGAGGAUGAGCCCGCGUUGGAUUAGGUAGUUGGUGGGGUAAAGGCCUACCAAGCCGACGAUCCAUAGCUGGUCUGAGGGGAUGAUCAGCCACACUGGGACUGAGACACGGCCCAGACUCCUACGGGAGGCAGCAGUGGGGAAUAUUGGACAAUGGGCGCAAGCCUGAUCCAGCAAUGCCGCGUGAGUGAUGAAGGCCCUAGGGUUGUAAAGCUCUUUUACCCGGGAAGAUAAUGACUGUACCGGGAGAAUAAGCCCCGGCUAACUCCGUG